rnacentral:rRNA from 1 species
ACAGCAGCAGCCGCGGUAAUACAGAGGGUGCAAGCGUUAAUCGGAAUUACUGGGCGUAAAGCGCGCGUAGGUGGUUUGUUAAGUUGGAUGUGAAAUCCCCGGGCUCAACCUGGGAACUGCAUCCAAAACUGGCAAGCUAGAGUAUGGUAGAGGGUGGUGGAAUUUCCUGUGUAGCGGUGAAAUGCGUAGAUAUAGGAAGGAACACCAGUGGCGAAGGCGACCACCUGGACUGAUACUGACACUGAGGUGCGAAAGCGUGGGGAGCAAACAGGAUUAGAUACCCCAGUAGUCCCUGUCUCUUAUAC